AUUCGCCUCUCAGAUUGAAUUUCCUGUAGAGUAUUCAAUAUCUACGGGAUGAUUCUUUCAUCGAUUUUAUUCGUGAGGCGAUAGAUUAUUGCAGGGGCGUUGAGUCGCUUCGUCUAUGUUUAACCAGGCAUAGCGAAUAAGCUCGUGCUAUAUCC